rnacentral:rRNA from 1 species
ACGAACGCUGGCGGCGUGCUUAACACAUGCAAGUCGAACGAUGAACCGGUUUCGGCCGGGGAUUAGUGGCGAACGGGUGAGUAACACGUGGGCAAUCUGCCCUGCACUCUGGGACAAGCCCUGGAAACGGGGUCUAAUACCGGAUAUGACACGCUCCCGCAUGGGAUGCGUGUGGAAAGCUCCGGCGGUGCAGGAUGAGCCCGCGGCCUAUCAGCUUGUUGGUGGGGUGAUGGCCUACCAAGGCGACGACGACGGGUAGCCGGCCUGAGAGGGCGACCGGCCACACUGGGACUGAGACACGGCCCAGACUCCUACGGGAGGCAGCAGGAAUAUUGCACAAUGGGCGAAAGCCUGAUGCAGCGACGCCGCGUGAGGGAUGACGGCCUUCGGGUUGUAAACCUCUUUCAGCAGGGAAGAAGCGAGAGUGACGGUACCUGCAGAAGAAGCGCCGGCUAACUACGUGCCAGCAGCCGCGGUAAUACGUAGGGCGCAAGCGUUGUCCGGAAUUAUUGGGCGUAAAGAGCUCGUAGGCGGCUUGUCGCGUCGGAUGUGAAAGCCCGGGGCUUAACUCCGGGUCUGCAUUCGAUACGGGCAGGCUAGAGUUCGGUAGGGGAGAUCGGAAUUCCUGGUGUAGCGGUGAAAUGCGCAGAUAUCAGGAGGAACACCGGUGGCGAAGGCGGAUCUCUGGGCCGAUACUGACGCUGAG